rnacentral:miRNA from 1 species
UAUUGAGUUGGCCAAAAAGUUCAUUCAGGAUUUUCCAUCAAGGCUUAUGGAAAAACCCAAAUGAACUUUUUGGCCAACCCAAU